GAUGAAGAACAUAGCAAAAUGCGAUAAGUAAUGUGAAUUGCAGAAUUCAGUGAAUCAUCGAAUCUUUGAACGCACAUUGCGCCCGCCAGUAUUCUGGCGGGCAUGCCUGUUCGAGCGUCAUUUCAACCCUCAAGCACAGCUUGGUGUUGGGACUCGCGUUAAUUCGCGUUCCUCAAAUUGAUUGGCGGUCACGUCGAGCUUCCAUAGCGUAGUAGUAAAACCCUCGUUACUGGUAAUCGUCGCGGCCACGCCGUUAAACCCCAACUUCUGAAUGUUGACCUCGGAUCAGGUAGGAAUACCCGCUGAACUUAAGCAUAUCAAUAAGCGGAGGA
rnacentral:misc_RNA from 1 species